rnacentral:misc_RNA from 1 species
GGAAGUAAAAGUCGCAACAAGGUCUCCGUUGGUGAACCAGCGGAGGGAUCAUUACCGAGUACAAACUCAUAACCCUUUGUGAACCUAUAUCUGUUGCUUCGGCGGCACGCUCUCGGGCGAGCCCGCCGGUAAUAUCAGUAUCUCUGUUUGAACCCGACGAUACUUCUGAGUGUUCUUAGCGAACAGUUAAAACUUUUAACAACGGAUCUCUUGGCUCUA